UACGUAGGGUGCAAGCGUUGUCCGGAAUUAUUGGGCGUAAAGAGCUCGUAGGCGGCUUGUCGCGUCGACUGUGAAAACCCGCGGCUCAACCGUGUGGUCUGCAGUCGAUACGGGCAGGCUAGAGUUCGGUAGGGGAGACUGGAAUUCCUGGUGUAGCGGUGAAAUGCGUAGAUAUCUGGAGGAACACCGGUGGCGAAGGCGGCGACCCUGGACCGGCAUUGACG
rnacentral:rRNA from 1 species